UACGAAGGGGGCUAGCGUUGCUCGGAAUUACUGGGCGUAAAGCGCACGUAGGCGGCUUUCUAAGUCGGGGGUGAAAUCCUGGAGCUCAACUCCAGAACUGCCUUCGAUACUGGAGAGCUUGAGUCCGGGAGGAGGUGAGUGGAACUGCGAGUGUAGAGGUGAAAUUCGGUAGAAUUAUUCGCAAGAACACCAGUGGCGAAAGGCAGGCCUCAGCUG
rnacentral:rRNA from 1 species